rnacentral:rRNA from 1 species
GUAACGAAUAUUCCGCAAUGCGCGAAAGCGUGACGGAGCGACGCCGCGUGCAGGAUGAAGCGGCUUUGCCGUGUAAACUGCUGUCAGGAGCUACUAACACUGAAGGGCUCCAGAGGAAGGGCCGGCUAAUCCUGUGCCAGCAGCCGCGGUAAUACAGGAGGCCCGAGCGUUAAUCGGAAUCACUGGGCUUAAAGGGUGCGUAGGCUGACCCGUGUGUGCGUUGUGAAAUCCCUCGGCUCAACCGAGGAAGGGCAACGCAAACUGCGGGUCUUGAGGUAGGUAGGGGCCGCUGGAACGCUCGGUGGAGCGGUGAAAUGCGUUGAGAUCGAGCGGAACGCCGAAGGUGAAGACAAGCGGCUGGGCCUUACCUGACGCUGAGGCACGAAAGCGUGGGGAUCAAACAGGAUUAGAUACCCGUGUAGUCC